rfam:Rhodococcus sp. CTA-806 NODE_5_length_407969_cov_4.75619_ID_9, whole genome shotgun sequence.
CGAGUUGGUUGGACGGCCGCGGCACGGAGAACUGGGGGACACGCUCCACCAAGCUUCGAGCCGAGGAAAGUCCGGACUCCACAGAGCAGGGCGGUUGCUAACGGCAACCCGAGGUGACUCGCGGGACAGUGCCACAGAAAACAGACCGCCCACGCUCGCGUGUUCUUUCAGAACGCGCGAGCGAGGGUCAGGGUGAAACGGUGCGGUAAGAGCGCACCAGCACCCCGGGUGACCGGGGUGGCUAGGUAAACCCCGCCCGGAGCAAGGUCGAAGGUCGCACCGUAGGGCUCGUUGCGAGUCUCACGGUGCGGCUGCGCAGGUGUUCGAGGGCUGCUCGCCCGAGCCUGCGGGUGGACUGCUCGAGGUACCCGGCGACGGUGUGCCCAGAUGGAUGGUCGUCGCUUCGUCCACACCUCGGUGAGGACGAAGCACAGGAUCCGGCUUAUAUGCCGACUCGUUCG